GCUCAGUUGGUUAAGCAUCCAAUUCUUGAUUUUGGCUCAGGUCAUGAUCUCAUGGUUUGUGGGUUCAAGCCCCACAUUGGGCU
rnacentral:tRNA from 1 species